rnacentral:lncRNA from 1 species
CCACACCUGGGGCAUCUGGAAGUUCCCAGGCUAGGGGUCGAAUGGGAACUGUAGCUGCUGGCCUACACCACAGCCACAGCAACACCAGAUCUGAGCCACCUCUGCAGCCUACACCACAGCUCACAGCAAUGCCAGAUCCUUAAUCCACUGAGCAAGGCCAGGGAUUGAACCUGAGUCCUCAUGGAUAAUAUUCGGGUUCUUAACCCACUGAGACACAAGGGGAGCCACAAGGGGAACUCCAAGGAUGCUCCUUGUGUUGGCAGUUCCUCUUUCCCUGCUUGCUCUACUGCUCUCAAACUUUCUGCCUCUAAUUCCUGGUCUUAGAUUCUGUUUUGGAGAAAAGCCUUCUCAAGACAGUGAGCUACACAGUAGAACUGUCUUAACUAUGGAUUCCCUCUCUCACUGGGCUCCACCCCUGACUCCUGGGGCUGCCUGUCCAACAAAAUCCCAUCUUGGCUUCCAAGGGUUCUCUGGGGUGUGCGCAGGGCCCCACAGAGGAGUGUUACUCGGGGAAGUAUUUCCUGAAAUGAAACUCCAUGGUCCCUGAGGGAGGGAGUGAAUGGGGCCUGGUGACGCUGAGGUGGGAUGGGGAGAAGAAAGUUGCUGGGGGUUUGAUGGGAAAGCCAUUUUGCCUAAUUGGAUCGUGCACAUUAAACCAGCAACUACAAGAGCAAAGGCGGGGGGUGGGGGAAACAGUGCAAAAAUGGCUGGAAUGGGCAGCCAGGGAGAUGGGGGCUCUGAGGAUUCAGUGGGAAUAAAGGAUUAGGGUUUAGGGCCAGGCAAGGACACUCCAUCCCACCUCUUGCUAACUAGGGCAUAGAGAAGGUGCUAGGCAGAGGGCGGGAACUGGGACUCUGCUGAAUGCACCAUCUACUAAAGCCAGGCUCGCACCAGGAGUUUUUGCUGGCUCCCACUCACUCCUAAGCUGCUUUACAUGCACUACCAGAUGUAAAUCUUGCAGCGAAUCUGUGAAGUGGGUGCAAUUGCUCUCCCAACUUCCCAGGAUGGAUCUGUACGGAGAGGCAAGUGACCCGCCUAAGGUCACAUGGGAGUUUAACAACCCCAUUCACCAACAGCUGGGCAUGAAAUGAUCUCUGUAGGGAAGAAGGAGAGAGGAGAAGAGAGGCCAGACCUCCUGGUGAUGGAUGGAGAAGGCUUUUGGAGGAUCUGUGGUGUUGACACAGACCCUAAGCCCUCAUGCGAGCCAGCCACCCAGUAAUGAAAGUGUUAAUUUGUUCAUUCCAUCACUUACUCCAACAUCUGAGCCUGUGUGGUUGUAAAGACAGAACAUGGCCUUGUGAAAGGAGAAGCCCUGGGCCCUGGUGCUUGGGGGAGGAGGAUGGAGCGCUCUGGGAGGGUCAGAGCUAUCAGAAAGGCUUCCUGGAGAAGUGGGACUGGAACGGGUUACUUCCCCUCUCUGGACCCAAGAUGCCUCAUCCGGAAAACAGGAAGCGGCAUCUCUGCCUUGCUCCCUCUUUCUAGGAGCAAGUGGAAGGAUCCAGGAGCAUCUGAUGUUGUGCUAGAGACUGAUCAAGAUGCUGUUGGGAAGGCUCAGGUGAGCACAAAGCCUGGAAAAUGCACCUGGCUGAGCCUAGAGAGGCGGGGAAUAGAGGAAGGUUCCUCUCUCUCUUAUAGAUCUGCGCCAUGUCUCUGGGGAGGGGCUCUCUUGAGACUCUUUUGUCCUUGAUCAAGCAAGUUAUGCUCCUAGCUGGCAGCACCCAGUUGGAGAGACACAGGCCCCUCUCCAUCCACGCCCCUGCUGUGCCAGCUACUGCCAUCCCAGAAGCCUCAGACUCCAGGCAGCUCUGCCCCAACUUGGCCAUCCUUACAGCCAGCCACCUGUCCAGUAAGCCCCCAGGGCCUGUCUUCCCAGAUCUGGAGCUUUAUGGCUGGAAGAGCCCCAUCUGGAUCCUGAGCCCCCAGCCAAACUCCCAACAUCCCAGCAGCAUCUCACAUGGCACAAACGUCCCCAAUAAUUCCUGAGAAAGUUGUGAUCAGAAUGCAGCUCUCAAGAGCUCUUCAGCGAUGAUCUGCUCAACAAAUGGUGGCGUUGGCCAUUAUUCUGAAGGUAGACAUCCAUCAGGGCUCAGAGGGUGACUGGGUGACCAGUUGUGGGGUACAGUCUGUGACCAUGGCUCAUUGUAUGAUCAUGUUCAGAGUUCAGCCUAGAGAUGCUGUCAGAAACUACUGUUUCUAGGACUUGACUCUCCUAAGAGCCAGGUGCCAGGGGCUCUGGGACUGCCCACGGGGAGCAGUGUAAGGUAAUCCGUAAGAGAAGGGGCUGUGGAGUCAUGUGGGCUGGGUCUGAAUCCUGGCUUUACCACUUGCUGACUCUCACUUGGCCAAUGUUCUGGCCACUAACCCUUGGGUUACUCAACAGUCAAGGAGGCUAAGAAGACAUAGACUGGGAAGGCCAAAUGAGAUGAAAAGCCACAGUGAGCCUGGCACACCGUGAGUGUCAGGAAACAUCAGUCUCUGUCACAUGCAUGUCUACAUGCACAGGUCCACACGCACACGUCCACACCAUUGUCCUGGAGGCUCCGGGGCUCACAGCUCCACAGCUGGCCCCAAGGCUGCCCUCCUGAUGCAGUGUAGAGUCAGAGUCAAAGGACCAGCUUGUCUGCUCAUCCCUGGCCAAAAGAGCCACUGGGUCCUGGGGGACUUAGCUGGAGGCAGGAAGGCUCGGGGUAGGGAAGGUUUGGGGGCAAGACUCUCACUCCUUUGAUAACCCUUGACUUUUACUCAGAGGCCUUGGGACCUCUGCUUGGCUGUGGCCUGGGCUCUCUAAGGGCAGAUCAGCCCUGCAGCCCUGGCCCCCGCAGUCACCAGAUCUGAGCUGAGGACCCCAGGCUUCUGGGGGAGCUUCCUGGGUUCCCUCCCACGUGCCCUUUCUCACCUGCUGCCUAGUCUCCAACAAGCCACCUUCUCUCUCUUCCAGCUGCCCCCUGGCCCACGUCUCUGUCCCUCCAUCAUGAGAUUCCAGGAUUCUUGCAUUUUUUUUGGCUUCCUCUUUUCUCCCCUCUCCUUCAUCUGGAUGUUUUCUAAGAGGUCAGAAUUCCAGCUACCAGCCAGCCUUCCCUGCCCCAUCCAGCAAGACUGAUAUCUGCUCUCCAUUUUCCCAGAGGAGAAAAGGGCUGAAACCUAAUGAGGUUGAUGAGGAUGGUGCCGGCGGGUUGGUGAGGGAGAGCUAUGAGGGCCAGGAAUGGGCUGGGCCUGGGGGCCCCCUUUGGGACCUAAGCCAUCGAUCAUGGGUAGCUAAGGAGCUGUCUCGUCAGAAACAAAGAUGAUACUCAAUAAUCCCAGAUCCCUACUUCCUGUCCUAGGACCCUGGUCUUAGAAAAGUCUCAUAGAUUCCAAGCAAGACCACUAGGGACAGCCUCAGCCCUGUAUCUUCCAGGCUGAGCAGCUUGGAGCAAGUUACUUAACCUCUCUGUGCUCUGGUUUCCUCAUCUGUGAAAAUGGACUGCUGUGAGGAGUACAUGAGCACUGGGCACAGGACCUAGAACAUGGCAGAUUCCCCAUAAUUGUUGGCUAUUGUCAUCUGCACCAGUAGACGCCAAACAUUUCUGACAACUCAUUCCGAUCAGUAAAAAACAUGUCCAGUAUAUACAGAUAUUAAUUCAUUUUUAAAUUACAGGCAUGUAUUUCUACACUAACAUAUUCUGUGUGUUAUAAAACAGAUACAAAAUAGUCAUUUUAAAAGGCUAAGAUAUUAAAAAUCAAAUAUAAAUAGAAGUUCUGUGACAUUCUUCCCACACCCCAGUGGAUCCUUUUGUGUCCUCACUGGGGGCAGGAACAGUACUUGGGAGACUACUUCAUGUGCUAGCAGCCUUCGUAAAUUGUGGUGAUUUGGGCAGCAGCCCCUUCCAAAAAGCUCCUGCCAGGGCUGAUGUGAGAGGAGACGCUAUGUGGCCCCCAUGUGGGAGCCAGGGAGAGCUAAUGUGGGUGAUUAAAUCAUUUGCAAUAAUCCAUUUGGAACAGCAGCCGUGUCUAACAUGAGCGUGAUGACUGCUCCACAAAUAGAAAUGUGGCCAGGGAGGCCAUUUGUGGGACAUAGUCCAAGGGCAUGGGGUAAGCCCAGGCUGGUUCUUCCCUGAUACUCAGUGUCUUCUUGCUGACGUCAGCCCACCAGGCUCUGCACCUGCCCAUGCAAGGGAUCAAUCUGGCCUUUCCCCACCUAAACACAAGGUUCUCUCCUGCCUCUGAAUCAAUCCCUCCUCUUCCAGGAAGCCCUCACUGAUGGCCCUUUCUCCUUAACUGUCCCCUAGAAUAAGUCCUCCAAAUCUGAAUAUUCCUCCCUGCCUCUCUUCCAUGUUCCUUUCCUUUCUUUUAAUAACAGCCAUGCACCCAGCCUGGUUCUGUCCUGUGUAUGCCAUGUAUACAAAACCGGUAGCUUCUGCUCUCUCAUCAUCAUUUCCCCCCUUCUUCUGGAAACUGUAACUACCUUUUCCUUUUGUGAAAUUUCCCUUCUCUCAUUUCAGUCUAUGAGAUCGGGUUGAUAAAAUGUGAACUAGGAACGGCUGGGGACUUUUUGCCACCACAAAGAGAGGGGGCGCGGAAAAAACUUACGGAUUCUUAAUGACCUCAGUUGAACUGCUGAUUCACCUAGGCCUGAAAUGUAUUCCUUUAUAUGAGCCAAUAAAUUCCUUUUUCAUGCUUAGACUAUUUUGAGGGUGUUUUGUUUUGUUUUUGUUUUUGAAUGAAGGCUACCUUCUAGUUACUACCUCCUGUGAUUAUUGUAAUAUUUUCUGCCAAUCUUCCUUUCCUCCCCUUGCCCCCCUCCGCACAGCAGCAGGCUCAGCAUGCUGUGUCCUCAUAUGGUCCAUCAGGCCCUCAGUGACCUCCCUUCCCUUACCAAUGUGACCUCCCCUCCUCUUCCUUUUCUCUUCCCUCAUUCUCUUCCAGCCACACUGGCCUCCUUGCUGCUUCUCAACAAAUGCCCAGCACCCUCCCCGCUACCUCUGGGCCUUUUCACUUGCUGUUCCUUCAGCUCGUUAUACCCUUAGGCCUAGAUGAUCCUGAAGGCUUACUCCAUGACUGUUUUUCCAUCUCAUCUCAGCUGGCACAGUUCCCGACCAGCCCGUAGCAAAGAGCAACCUCCCUGCCACCCCUAGUCCUCCAUAUUUCCUUAGCCUGCUUUAUUUAUCUGUAGCACUUGUAUUUAAUUGUCUUCCUCAUCACCUAGCCUCUGCCUGAUAUGUCUUAAGUGCUCAAAACAAGUCUGUCUCUGUCACCUAGAUUGUAAGCUUCACAAGAAGAAGCCUUUGCUUUAUUCACUGAGGCAUCCCCAGGGCUAGAACUGAGCCUGACACACAGCAGGUGCUCAGUAAACAUUGAACAAAUGUGCUUCUAUUACUGUCACACGAGGCUGAGCCCUGUCUCUCCCUGGCCUCAGUAUCCAGGAAAGGAGCUAAGGGCUUCUCCUCCUCCAUCUCUCCCACUUGUUGAUCCAUCACAUUAUGGCUGGUUCCCUUCCAUCCUGCAUUCUCCUUCAAAAUCCCUAUCAUACUUGUGUCCUGAGGGGUGGGGGGUAGUCCAUCUUCCUCAUCACCUAGCCUCUGCCUGAUACGUCUUAAGUGCUCAAAACAGGUUUACUAAUGAGACUCUGAACAGCACUGGUCAAGGCAGUCCCUUCCUAGGUAUC